CGAGGCCGCCCCGCGCGGACAGGAAGCGCCGGCCGGUGCCCUUCCCUCGGCGCGCGGCGCAGGGACCCUGUUUUCGGGGUCGGGGUGCGCGCGCGCGUGGACAACCUCCAAGGAAAACACGGUGGUUUUAAGUCAUCGAGUUUUUAAAAAAGUGUCAAAUCACUUCGCCAGUUAACGGAAACCAACGCUUGCCCGGUGCCGUCUCGGAAACACUCCGGCCAAGUCGGCAGGCCGACGCGCUACCCACCGAACCACACCAGCCAGGCCAUUGACUUCUUUGACGACAUCAAGGAGACGUGUCUGCGGGCUGCUGUGCACGGAGAGCUCCCAGCCAUGAUUCCCAAGCUCUUCCCGUCCACCCUCUCUGACCCGCGUUGCGAUGGUGUCACGUUGCGAUGGGGUCAGAUGCUGUGACCUCAGUGACCUUGGCACCGGUUUCCCAGAUCACUGCCUCCACAUAGCACUUCUGGGAGCCUCACACGGACCCGUGUCUGCGGCUGCAUGUCUUCACGUGCACGGAUGUCGCCGGCACUGGCAGGGAGCGCCGACUGAGCACGUGCAGGCGCUCGCGGCUCCUCUGAGGAUGUUGUUUCCAUCCUUACGGAAUUACGUAGAUAAAACAUUCCCUUUUAGA